UGUUUUUAUAGAAGCUGAUAUGGGAUCCAUUGACUGUCCCAUGCACCAAUCAGACCAUUUUCUCCAAGCCGAUCCGUAGGCACGUCUGGUACCUGGUGCCCAUGACUCUGCCAAGAGACUGAGUGUCGCCUGCGAAACCUCCUCGAGAUUCCAUGAUCUCCUGAAAUGAGCCAUGCCAUCAGUUGCAGUAGGCCCUGGUUGACCAGCUCGUGACUCAUUCCCUCUGGGUUGGUUAAGAGGUAGGGAAUGUCCGGCAACAGUUGUGGGAAAUCUAUCGACAUUUCCAAUAACUGAGGGAACCAAGUUUGUGAUCUUCAUAACGGGGUUACCAGUGCCAGCGUCCCCUUGGAAUAUCGAAGGACCGUUAGGGUUCGAGAAAUGAGGUUGAACGGGGGAAACGCGUAGUUCCUGCCCUUGGUCCAGUCCUGCAGGAAUGCGUCUGUUGCCAGAGCAUCUGGAUCCGGUCUCCAACUGAAGAAUCGAGGAAGUUGGGUAUUCAGUCGAGACGCGAAGAGGUCUAUACUGAAAAGGACCCCAGAGCCGAGAG